rnacentral:rRNA from 1 species
GUCGAGCGAGAAGCCUUUUCAAGACUCUUCGGAUGACUUUAAAGGUGGAAAGCGGCGGACGGGUGAGUAACGCGUGGGCAACCUGCCUUAUACAGGGGGAUAACACCGGGAAACCGAUGCUAAUACCGCAUAACACAUAGAUAUCGCAUGGUAUUUAUGUCAAAGGAGAAAUCCGGUAUAAGAUGGGCCCGCGUCCAAUUAGCUAGUUGGUGGGGUAGAGGCCUACCAAGGCGACGAUUGGUAGCCGAACUGAGAGGUUGAUCGGCCACAUUGGGACUGAGACACGGCCCAGACUCCUACGGGAGGCAGCAGUGGGGAAUAUUGCGCAAUGGGGGGAACCCUGACGCAGCAACGCCGCGUGAAGGAUGAAGGUCUUCGGAUCGUAAACUUCUUUGAUUGGGGAAGAAGCAGUGACGGUACCCAAAGAACAAGCCACGGCUAACUACGUGCCAGCAGCCGCGGUAAUACGUAGGUGGCAAGCGUUGUCCGGAAUUACUGGGUGUAAAGGGCGUGUAGGCGGGGAUGCAAGUCAGAUGUGAAAAUCCGUGGCUCAACUGCGGAACUGCAUCUGAAACUGUAUCUCUUGAGUGCUGGAGAGGGAAGUGGAAUUCCUAGUGUAGCGGUGAAAUGCGUAGAGAUUAGGAAGAACACCAGUGGCGAAGGCGGCUUCCUGGACAGUAACUGACGCUGAGGCGCGAAAGCGUGGGGAGCGAACAGGAUUAGAUACCCUGGUAGUCCACGCCGUAAACGAUGGAUACUAGGUGUAGGAGGUAUCGACCCCUUCUGUGCCGGAGUUAACACAAUAAGUAU